UACGUAGGGUGCGAGCGUUAAUCGGAAUUACUGGGCGUAAAGCGUGCGCAGGCGGUUUUGUAAGCCAGGUGUGAAAUCCCCGGGCUCAACCUGGGAAUGGCAUUUGGGACUGCAAGGCCGGAGUGCGGCAGAGGAGACUGGAAUUCCUGGUGUAGCAGUGAAAUGCGUAGAUAUCAGGAGGAACACCGAUGGCGAAGGCAGGUCUCUGGGCUGACACUGACGCUCAUGCACGAAGCGUGGGAGCAACAGG
rnacentral:rRNA from 1 species